rnacentral:rRNA from 1 species
GAUGAACGCUGGCGGCGUGCCUAAUACAUGCAAGUCGAGCGAACAGACGAGGAGCUUGCUCCUCUGACGUUAGCGGCGGACGGGUGAGUAACACGUGGAUAACCUACCUAUAAGACUGGGAUAACUUCGGGAAACCGGAGCUAAUACCGGAUAAUAUAUUGAACCGCAUGGUUCAAUAGUGAAAAACGGUUUUGCUGUCACUUAUAGAUGGAUCCGCGCCGCAUUAGCUAGUUGGUAAGGUAACGGCUUACCAAGGCAACGAUGCGUAGCCGACCUGAGAGGGUGAUCGGCCACACUGGAACUGAGACACGGUCCAGACUCCUACGGGAGGCAGCAGUAGGGAAUCUUCCGCAAUGGGCGAAAGCCUGACGGAGCAACGCCGCGUGAGUGAUGAAGGUCCUCGGAUCGUAAAACUCUGUUAUUAGGGAAGAACAAAUGUGUAAGUAACUAUGCACGUCUUGACGGUACCUAAUCAGAAAGCCACGGCUAACUACGUG